rnacentral:lncRNA from 1 species
UUCCACAAUAAAGAAAUUUAAACAUAUGUACUAAAUAAUUUUGGAGAGUACUAAUAUCAUUGUCCUAAGGCAAAGUUGAUUUAGCUCGUUAAUGUGUAGGCCCCAUAAAUAUUAGAAAUGAAAUUGAUUAUACAUAUUGGAGUGGAUGGAGAAAAGUUAUGGCUGUUUGACACCUGCCCUAGUGUCUCAAAUUUUGCAAUAAGGUGAGCACAGCAUGGUGUAGUAAUUGGAGUGGCAGUGGUAGGACAUGCCAUGAGAUGGAGCUUCUUCAUUUAAACACUCUCUAUUGCCAUGUAAGAAAGAGGAUGGUUCCACUUUCCUCUAAAAGAUAUGGUGCUAUUGCCAGUGUAGUUCAAUUACUAAU